UGUUUCUGUAUCAGUUAGGUUCCUGUCAACUGUCACCCUGCUCCACCCAGACUGGUAUCAUUUAAAUUUCAAAUGGUGCAGAAGACUGACAUUCUUCAGUUGCUGCUGCAAAGCUAACAUGCAGAGGACCCAGAGCCAGCACACCAGCUCCAGACAGUGACUCACAAUUCUCCUGCCACUAUAGCUAACAUCACAACAACAGCAUGUCUUGGUGAACUAAGUAAGCAGAAUGUCUGUGGAACCAGGGCGGAGAACAAACACUGGAUUUAUUUUAAGCUCACAUACAGAACGGACAGCUAGCGGACGAGGAGGAGAUAUUCGCUGAGUCUGACAAAAAGACGUGUACAAGAUUAGAAUUCCAUACCCCAACUUUAAGGCAACAAUUAUAUAAAGAAACUUUUCAU